AACGAACGCUGGCGGCGUGCUUAACACAUGCAAGUCGAACGCGAAAGGGGCUUCGGUCCUGAGUAAAGUGGCGCACGGGUGAGUAACGCGUAGAUAACCUGUCUUCGAGUCUGGAAUAAUACACCGAAAGGGGUACUAAUACCGGAUAUUCUUGCGUUUCAUAAGUGACGUAAGCAAAGGUGGCCUCUGUAUAUGCUACUGCUUGAAGAGGGGUCUGCGUACCAUUAGCUAGUAGGUAGGGUAAUGGCCUACCUAGGCUACGAUGGUUAGCGGGGCUGAGAGGAUGAUCCGCCACACUGGCACUGGAACACGGGCCAGACUCCUACGGGAGGCAGCAGUGAGGAAUAUUGCGCAAUGGGGGAAACCCUGACGUAGCGACGCCGCGUGAGUGAGGAAGGCCUUCGGGUCGUAAAGCUCUGUCAAAGGGAAAGAAGUGCAUGGUGGCUAAUACCUGCCAUGUUUGACGGUACCCUUAAAGGAAGCACCGGCUAACUCCGUGCCAGCCGCCGCGGUAAAAC
rnacentral:rRNA from 1 species